AACGAACGCUGGCGGCAGGCCUAAUACAUGCAAGUCGAGCGCGCCCUUCGGGGUGAGCGGCGGACGGGUGAGUAACGCGUGGGAAUAUGCCCUUCUCUAAGGAAUAGCCUCUGGAAACGGAGAGUAAUACCUUAUACGCCCUUUGGGGGAAAGAUUUAUCGGAGAAGGAUUAGCCCGCGUUAGAUUAGGUAGUUGGUGGGGUAAUGGCCUACCAAGCCUACGAUCUAUAGCUGGUUUGAGAGGAUGAUCAGCCACACUGGGACUGAGACACGGCCCAGACUCCUACGGGAGGCAGCAGUAGGGAAUCUUAGACAAUGGGGGCAACCCUGAUCUAGCCAUGCCGCGUGUGUGAUGAAGGCCCUAGGGUCGUAAAGCACUUUCGCCAGAGAUGAUAAUGACAGUAUCUGGUAAAGAAACCCCGGCUAACUCCGUGCCGGCAGCCGCGGUAAUACGGAGGGGGUUAGCGUUGUUCGGAAUUACUGGGCGUAAAGCGCACGUAGGCGGAUUAGUAAGUUAGAGGUGAAAUCCCAGGGCUCAACCCUGGAACUGCCUUUAAUACUGCUAGUCUUGAGUUCGAGAGAGGUAAGUGGAAUUCCGAGUGUAGAGGUGAAAUUCGUA
rnacentral:rRNA from 1 species